rnacentral:rRNA from 1 species
ACCGGCAGCUCAAGUGGUGGCCAUUUUUAUUGGGCCUAAAGCGUUCGUAGCCGGUUUGAUAAGUCUCUGGUGAAAUCCCGCAGCUUAACUGUGGGACUUGCUGGAGAUACUAUUAGACUUGAGGUCGGGAGAGGUUAGGGGUACUCCCAGGGUAGGGGUGAAAUCCUAUAAUCCUGGGAGGACCACCUGUGGCGAAGGCGCCUAACUGGUUUGAACCUGACGGUUUUUAACGAAAGCUUUUGUUGCUUACCU